rnacentral:lncRNA from 1 species
UGUGUUAAAUUACAGUACAUUCCGCCUUUUUUUUCUUUUUUUUCUCGCGGUCUGUGGUGUGCUGGGGGUCUCGGCAUGGCUAUUGGCUGGCCACGCGGCUUCCCGCGCCCGGGCGCCGGGCUUCGGAGGAGCAAGGGCGACCGCCCUGAGCCUGAUGAGGCGCCUGCGAUGGCCGGGUCACGAUGAAGGGUCCAAGACUCAAACGCGCACGGCAGCGGCCUAACCUUACGGGCCACAUCCUCCGAGGAUCCUCUUGAGGGCCUGAGGCCGACUUCGGCCUAUAUUCCCUUCCCGGGAAAUGGGACAUUAACAAGAUUUGCUUUUAUUGAUCGCCGGUUGUACGCCAGGGAGCCUUGGGCGUAAGUGCAAAUCUCUUUCGCGUGACCCGGGAAGGCCCCACGAUGUAAAUGGCUUUGUGCCUGCCCGAGCCCACUGUGAAGUGGGUCAACAUCCGGGCAAAGUGCCUUUGAAAUGCAUAUCGCUACACGUGUGCUCAGGCGCAGAGGUUGGCCGAAACUGAAUGAGUAUCACCAACUUUGUAGGUAAGUUUUCUUGUAAGCUAAUUGACCAGCUUAUUCGGGAUAAGAAUUGUAACCCACCGUUUAAAGUUUUGUUUCAAUUUUCAUUAACGGGUAGGAUUAGUUGUAUUCUUUUCAAGCAGUAAUCAUUUCAUCUCAGCCAGUCAGCAGCCUCUGCUGCCAUGGUAGAGCCGAACUUUUGUUUUCACGGAGCCUUUGUGUUGCCCGUUCACUUUUGUAAACUAGUGAAUGUGGUGUCAAAAAAGGCAUAAAUAGAUACUUUGCAGCCUUUUCCUGCCCUUAAAUUUUAUAUUUUUGGUGUAGGAACUGCAUAAGUGACAGUUUGCAUUUACAUUAAUUUGUAUAUACAUGCGUCUUUUAAGUCGAACAGUGUUCAGUAUGUGUUUCUUUUAACCUGUUUUAACUAAUUUUUGUUCAGGUGAAAAAAUGGAUGCCUGAAGCGGACUAUUGACCUCUUAACACUUGAGCACAAAGGUGACUUAAGGUAGGAUGAUAUCAAAGUAGAAGUUGUGGAGAUUUUAUCUUUUUCUUGAGUAGGCAAUAUUGAAGAGAAAAGGUAAAAACAUAGUACUCUAAUUCUGGAUAUCAUUAGAUUUGUUUCUUUCUAGUAAAUGUAAGAAAAACUUGACAAAUCUCGGGCAUAAAGUCCAGAAAUGAUAUGACUUUUAAUACUGAGGAUUUAUUAUUACUAAGUUCUUUAUUAAUAUAUUAAAAUGUAAUGUGUAAAUAUGUACUUUUCUUUUAUUUCAGGACAUCCUUGGUAUGGAUUUUGGAAGUUUGGUCUUCAAAAGUUGCUUGGAUCAUUUAAAAAAUUUCCAGGAGUCUGAGGAAUAUUGAAAUAAUUGGGGCUGUGCCUCAGCAGUAGCACACGUACCUGGCAUGUUUGGGUUUGAUUCUCAACAUAGCAUAUAAGUAAAUAAAAUAAAUUUCUAUUGACAAUUAAAUUUUUUAAUAUUUUAUCCCACCCCAAGUUUGG